UUAAAAGAUGUUCGAAAUUAGCAACCAAAAUAUCCUCAGAUAAUGAAAAAGUCAGUGCUUUCUUGCGUGUUGUUGAUGAGUUUGAGACAAAAUGUGAAGGUUCAAUACUAAAGUCGACAUAUGAACAAACGAAGGCCAAAGCAAAUGUCGUCUUGGAUAAGGGUAAGAAGAUACUGAGCCCCAACGUGGUCCGAGGGAAAGGGAGACCCCCAAGUAAGAGGAAGGUUCCACCAGUGAAAAAGUUGGCAACAAAGAGAAAGAAACCGACUUGCAGGAAAAUCUUGGUAGAUGAAACACAAUUGAGUGAGACACCGGGAUCUGAACAACACCAAUUUGAUGAUGGGGUUGAUGUUGGAACACAAAACAGCAUUCUUACACGAUCAACUCCAGGGGGAAAUGAGAUGUGUGACCAUAUUGAUGCACACUUGUAA